CCUACGGGUAGCAGCAGUGGGGAAUAUUGCACAAUGGGGGAAACCCUGAUGCAGCGACGCCGCGUGAGUGAAGAAGUAUCACGGUAUGGAAAGCUCGAUCAGCAGGGAAGAAAAUGACGGUACCUGACUAAGAAUCCCCGGCGAACUACGUGCCAGCAGCCACGGUAAUACGUAGGGGGCAAGCGUUAUCCGACUUUACUGGGUGUAAAGGGAGAGUAGACGGCGCUGCAAGUCCGGAGUGAAAGCCCAUGGCUGAACCGUUGUACUGCUCUGGAAACUGUGGAGCUUGAGUGCGGGAGGGGCAGGCGGAAUUCCUAGUGUAGCGGUGAAAUGCGUAGAUAUUAGGAGGAACACCGGCGGCGAAGGCGGCCUGCUGGACCGUAACUGACGUUGAGGCUCGAAAGCGUGGGGAGCAAACAGGAUUAGAUACCCUUGUAGUC
rnacentral:rRNA from 1 species